rnacentral:rRNA from 1 species
UGGGGAAUAUUGCACAAUGGGCGCAAGCCUGAUGCAGCCAUGCCGCGUGUGUGAAGAAGGCCUUCGGGUUGUAAAGCACUUUCAGCGAGGAGGAAGGGUAGUGUGUUAAUAGCACAUUGCAUUGACGUUACUCGCAGAAGAAGCACCGGCUAACUCCGUGCCAGCAGCCGCGGUAAUACGGAGGGUGCAAGCGUUAAUCGGAAUUACUGGGCGUAAAGCGCACGCAGGCGGUUUGUUAAGUCAGAUGUGAAAUCCCCGCGCUUAACGUGGGAACUGCAUUUGAAACUGGCAAGCUAGAGUCUUGUAGAGGGGGGUAGAAUUCCAGGUGUAGCGGUGAGAUGCGUAGAGAUCUGGAGGAAUACCGGUGGCGAAGGCGGCCCCCUGGACAAAGACUGACGCUCAGGUGCGAAAGCGUGGGGAGCAAACA